CCGGCGACCGGCGCACGGGUGAGUAACACGUAUGCAACCUGGCCGCCACAGGGGGAUAACCCGCGGAAACGCGGCCUAAUACCCCGUGACGCCACCGGAGGGCAUCCUCCGGUGGCCAAAGGAGCGAUCCGGUGGCGGAUGGGCAUGCGGCGCAUUAGCUAGACGGCGGGGUGACGGCCCACCGUGGCGACGAUGCGUAGGGGUUCUGAGAGGAAGGCCCCCCACACUGGGACUGAGACACGGCCCAGACUCCUACGGAAGGCAGCAG
rnacentral:rRNA from 1 species